UGUGUUUACAGGAAAAAACUAUGGCAAUUUGUCAAUUUGGUAGAGGUAACAUCCAAUUAGAAAACAGAAUUAUAUGUUCCACCAAUCGUUACCUGUUUCCGGAGGUCUUGACAACAUGAUUUAGUAGCGUAGUAUUUCAACUUUUCAAGUUUUUCAACGAAUAGUCAUAAGCUGCACUACUGGUCGUGAACUGUGCACAAAACACCAAAAUGGCUUCGUUUUGGCUGACAACAGGUUUAUUGUUGAUGUUUUUUACCUCCUCGAUUUUGGCUGUUUCUAAACCAACCGGAGGUGUAAGUGUUUUAUAUGAGUGAUGUCGUCCAGGGUCUGCUUAUAUA